GUGUUGCAGCUGCGAGGAGCGUUAAGGCGAGAGAACCAAAACAAAGUAAUAUUUUUGUUAUUAGACUAAAAUUUAACCCAAGCAAAACCGUGUACGUGUACAUUGAAAGUUUGGAAUAUAAUAACGACAAAAAAAAAGGAAUUCAAAUUUUCCUAAACAAAAUUGUGUUAAUGGCAACAUCGCACCGAUAAAUAGAAUAACUGCUUUAUUUAUGUCAAAUGUCCGAACGAAGAAAAACGAUGCAUUUUGACACAAAUUGAUCUUUUUUAUAGACAAUACUAUAGUUUAUCAAACUAUUUAUUUACAUAUCGUACUUUGACCAUAAUAUACUGAUAUUCGAGUUCUAUAGAUACGAUUGAUCAGUAUCUGGUUGGAACUUACGCUGGUAAAGAGCACGGCAGCGCCAAAGGAACGAUUGCAUAACACUCCAACAUCCCUCAAAAUUUAAGAAGAGUCAAGAAUAUUAAAUCUGAUUUUAAUAUAUCCCUUUUAUUGUUUUAAAAAACUAGUGGCUAUAUUUUAGAUAUAUGUAAUACAUAUACGUAUAUCCACAAUAAUUAAAGUGGACUACGAAUAGAACAAAUUAUAAAAUAAAA